rnacentral:lncRNA from 1 species
CAUACAUACAUACAUACACAUAGGGAGAACCUUCUGGUACAGAAACUAAAACAAUGAAAGACAAUCAAUUUCCUUCCCCUCAAAACACAAGAAAUUGAUUUUAGUUUCUGAUGACGUCCUUUACCAGGCACCAGUAAAAAUCCACAAUCCAUGUGAUGGUUAUUAAUGGGUUAUGAAGGAGGGAUUUCUAAAGAAAGACAAGUCAAUACAAUCCAUUUCAAUAGCAUUUAUUUGAUACCAAGUUUUCUCCUCUGAGAGAUCAAUCCUGAAGGUCGUGGGUUUAACUGGACUAGCAAUGAAUAAAUGAUGCUUACUAGAACAACUUAGGUAACAUAAACAGGAGGAUGGACAUUUUUCCAGGUUUUUGUAGAGCUACAUUUAAUGCACAUUUAGUUAUUGCACACCAGAACAUCUCUUAAAACUUCUUUUUUUAGUAACUAAGACUUUAUUUUUAAAAACUUCCAAAUAAAAAAACAUUAAAAAGGGGAUUAAGCCUGGCUUUUCCUCUUGUCCACUCCACUGUUCACCAAUGAAACCACUGUCCAGAUGGUCAGCUUCCAGCACCAUUUCUUUACUUAGGUAUUGAAAUGUGCAACAGGACAUUUACAAGCCAGCCUGGAACUCUCUAUCCUCCCUCUCUCUGUCUCUGUCUCUGUGUGUGUCUCUCUCUCCCCGCCCCCUCCUUCUCUAACACAUGCACCAGCCUACCUAGCUGCAAUAUAAUUUCCAUGCUACUAAGGUCCCUUAAAAACUGAAACUACAUCAUUUGGCGUGACAGCUGACGACGGCUAGGAUUCCUUUCCUGCCAUGCCUUGCAAUGAUGGGUGAUGGUAUGAGAGGUAGGCAAGAUCAACCCGGUGGGGCUUCAAGAAAAGGGUUUUACAGGGAAUAACUGAAUCACAACAUCCAUCAUUUAAUCUUUGCCUGUUUUCCAGCACCUUCCAGGCAGGAAUCUGGAGCGGCUGGAACUACAGCAAAUACCGCAUGCCUGUAAGGAAAAGAAUCCAGUCCCUACAUUCACCCAACAAGAAUUAACUGAGUCUUGUCCUCAGGAAGAUUCAAAGCCACCACACCAGCCCAAUUACUUCUGUUCCUCUACUAUGUAUUUCUCUUCCGAUAAUUACUGAUAGGAUAACCAGUGGUUGUUUAUAUCGACAGUGUCAGCAUCCACUGGCACAUCAUUUAACAGGAGCAAGGAUUAAGAUACACACACUACAGAGACAAAGUUUGGAGCUGUGACAAAAGGAUGGACCAUCUAAAGACUACCAUAUCCGGGGAUCCAUCCCAUAAUCAGCUUCCAAACGCUGACACCAUUUCAU